GUUUUUCCAUCUGUUGAGAGUGAGGAGCAGUAUGAGCGAGGAAGAUGGAGUGGUACUUCGUAGCUGCGCUUCUCACCAUUCUUACCAGUUCUCAGGGAAUUUUGACAACACUCUCACAAAGUGGUGGGGGAUAUAAGUAUGACUAUGCCACUGUUCCUUUUCUUGCUGAAGUUUUUAAGCUCCUGGUUUCUUCUAUUCUUCUUUUGAGGGAAUGCAAGUCAUCACCUUUUCCAAGGAUGACCACAGAAUGGAAAAGCGUGCGUUUGUACCCCAUUCCUUCCAUUAUAUACUUGAUCCACAACAAUAUUCAGUUUCUCACCCUUACAUAUGUGGAUACAUCUACAUAUCAGAUAAUGGGUAAUCUGAAGAUUGUCACUACUGGCAUAUUAUUCAGGCUGUUCCUGAAGAGGAAAAUGUCUAAUCUGCAGUGGAUGGCAAUUGUUCUGUUAGCUGUUGGUACAACCACAAGCCAGGUUAAAGGCUGUGAUGAGGCUUCGUGUGACUCCCUUUUCUCAGCACCAAUUCAGGGUUAUAUACUGGGGAUCCUGUCUGCUUGUCUCUCAGCAUUAGCAGGUGUUUAUACUGAAUUUCUGAUGAAGAAGAAUAAUGACAGCCUGUACUGGCAGAAUGUACAAUUAUAUAUGUUUGGUUCAAUCUUCAAUAUGGCACGGUUGAUCCUGGAUGAUUUCAAGCAAGAAUUUGAGCAGGGACCAUGGUGGCGACGCCUAUUUAAUGGAUACAGUUUUACGACAUGGAUGGUGGUAUUAAAUCUUGGAUCUACUGGGUUACUAGUCUCGUGGUUAAUGAAGUAUGCUGACAAUAUUGUGAAGGUCUACUCAACAUCAAUGGCAAUGCUUCUGACAAUGGCUUUAUCUGUGUAUCUUUUCAAUUUCAAACCUACACUGCAGCUUUUCUUGGGGAUUAUUAUCUGUAUGAUGUCACUUCACAUGUAUUUUGCUCCUGCAAGCAUGCUUUUAGAUUUGCCUUCGACGGUAAAAGCAGCCCCAGAGAAACUUGCUGAAGUUUCUGUUGAUCGAACAACAGAUUCCUGAUGUUAGUCAUCACACUUAUUAAAUCAACUAAUUCUUUGCUCAGGGUCCACUGAAAGGACAUUCCACUCCCGCCCACUCUCUCUCUUCCUCUCUCACAAAGUCUAUAAAAGGCCAUCCUCCUAUAUUAAGAGUGCCCAUAACACCAGAAAUCGUUAAGAGGUUGUAUAGAGAGAGAGAGAGGUGGCAGUGGAAUCAGGAAUGGAAUCAGUUAUACGACCUACUCCAGCUCCCGGAACUAGCGGUGGCAGCGGCAGCGGAGUGAACGGACAGAAGGGCGGAGAGCGGGGAUGCGGAUACUUUCAGAUGCCGCUACACUAUCCCAGAUACACCAAAGAGGAAUACGAGACCAUGCCUGAGUGGAAGCUGGAUUGCCUUCUCACACAGUAUGGACUCCCUCUUGUUGGCGAUGUCGAACAGAAAAGGAAGUUUGCCAUGGGAGCUUUCCUCUGGACUUGUUGAUCAUCACCACUCCUUCCCUCAUCAUCCAUCCCUAGUACUGCAUGAAUGGCCGAUCUCUCUCUCUCUCUCUCUCUCUCUCUCUCUCUCUCUAUAUAUAUAUAUAUAUAUAUAUAUAACAUAUGAUACGUUACAUCUGUUUAUAUAUGAUCUGUAUCUAUUCUUCAGUUACUUAAUUUUCUUAGCUAUGUAAGUGUCUCUUCAACAUGUUGGGUCUUGCUUAGACUAAGUAUGGGAUUUUAAUGUAGCAGAAUCUGUGUCACUUUUCACUGUAAAAGAACCUGAUUUAUAGAAGAUGAUCAAGAUCUUCUUUGUGGGUUUCACUACUACUCUAAGUUUAUGGAAUGACCCUCUUCGAUCUCC